UACGUAGGGUGCGAGCGUUGUCCGGAAUUAUUGGGCGUAAAGGGCUCGUAGGCGGUUUGUCGCGUCGGGAGUGAAAACCUCGGGCUUAACUCGGGGCUUGCUUUCGAUACGGGCAGACUAGAGGUAUGCAGGGGAGAACGGAAUUCCUGGUGUAGCGGUGAAAUGCGCAGAUAUCAGGAGGAACACCGGUGGCGAAGGCGGUUCUCUGGGCAGUAACUGACGCUGAGGAGCGAAAGCGUGGGGAGCGAACAGG
rnacentral:rRNA from 1 species